GACAGCAGUAGCCACGGGAAUACAGAGGGUGCGAGCGUUAAUCGGAUUUACUGGGCGUAAAGCGUGCGUAGGCGGCUUUUUAAGUCGGAUGUGAAAUCCCUGAGCUUAACUUAGGAAUUGCAUUCGAUACUGGGAAGCUAGAGUAUGGGAGAGGAUGGUAGAAUUCCAGGUGUAGCGGUGAAAUGCGUAGAGAUCUGGAGGAAUACCGAUGGCGAAGGCAGCCAUCUGGCCUAAUACUGACGCUGAGGUACGAAAGCAUGGGGAGCAAACAGGAUUAGAUACCCCCGUAGUCCCUGUCUCUUAUAC
rnacentral:rRNA from 1 species